rnacentral:rRNA from 1 species
UACGAAGGGGGCUAGCGUUGUUCGGAAUUACUGGGCGUAAAGCGUAUGCAGGCGGAUCGUUAAGUCGGGGGUGAAAUCCCGAGGCUCAACCUCGGAACUGCCCUUCGAUACUGGCGAUCUUGAGUCCGGGAGAGGUGAGUGGAACUCCGAGUGUAGAGGUGAAAUUCGUAGAUAUUCGGAAGAACACCAGUGGCGAAGGCGGC